GCAGACACAUUCCAGCCAAUCAGCAGCAGACCCUCCCUCCCAGACCCUCCCACCUCCUGGACAGCUCACUAAGAAUGCAGCUUCACAAUGAAUGUAAAAUGGAUGCUGUCCAGGAGGUGGGAGGGUCUGGGAGGGAGGGUCUGCUGCUGAUUGGCUGGAAUGUGACUG